rnacentral:lncRNA from 1 species
GGGGUGGGGGUUAAGCUGGGGAGGUGCGAAGCAGUUCGCGCCGCCAACUGCCGGGGCGAGCGUAGCGCAGUGGCCGGAUCCCGGUAACUAAAGUUCCGAGAAGCCUGACUAAACCCUCAAAGCCGGGACUGUCAAGACUAACGCCGGCGCCGAGGGCGGCAGACGGAUGCGUCCCAGCGGAGCGCGCCUCUCGGCGUCAGGCUGAUGGAACAGGCAGCGAGGGGCGGCCAGGAGCCGGCACAAGUUAGGUCCUCGGCCGGAGCAGCCCAGGGCUCCUUAAGGAGGUGGAUUUGUAAUCGAAAGGCCCAGGUGAGAUGUGCAAACACCACAGAACUAAAAGAGGACUCACUUGGAAAGGCAGUAUUGCCUUCUCUCUUGGGCUAAUUAGAAAGCCAAGUCGACUAGCUAAUUCUCACUACGGUCCCUGUUAAUGGACUUGCAAGUUCCUACUCUGGGGAAAGUGGAUUUCGGGCUUUUAAAACGUUCCGUACAUGCAUCGUUGCUUCUCUCACAACUGACUUUUCCAGGAAAGGAUAUUGGCAAAUGUUUAGCUACACGCCUCUCCCUUGUACAUUGUGCCAAAGAUGUCAAUCACUUUAAAUCACAGUCUGCAGUGUGUGCCAUACCCCUAAACUACUCAAUUUGUUGAACAAAUGCUUUUCGGUAGCAGGUUUAAGGAUGGCGUAAAUUGACCUUUUUAAUCC